UCUUCCACAAUGGGCGAAAGCCUGAUGGAGCAACGCCGCGUGGGUGAAGAAGGUCUUCGGAUCGUAAAACCCUGUUGUUAGAGAAGAAAGUGCGUGAGAGUAACUGUUCACGUUUCGAAGGUAUCUAACCAGAACGCCACGGCUAACUACGUGCCAGCAGCCGCGGUAAUACGUAGGUGGCAGGCGUUACCCGGAUUUAUUAGGCGUAAAGGGAACGCAGGCGGUCUUUUAAGUCUGAUGUGAAAGCCUUCGGCUUAACCGGAGUAGUGCAUUGGAAACUGGGAGACUUGAGUGCAGAAGAGGAGAGUGGAACUCCAUGUGUAGCGGUGAAAUGCGUAGAUAUAUGGAAGAACACCAGUGGCGAGAGCGGCUCUCUGGUCUGUAACUGACGCUGAGGUUCGAAAGCGUGGGUAGCAAACAGG
rnacentral:rRNA from 1 species